CAUGGCUUACUGCGGGGGCUUCCGUGUGCCCCCCAACGGAAGAGGAAAAAAAUAGAGAGAGAAAGGGGAAGCAUCCAGAACCCCCUCCCUUUCUCUCGCGCCCUCUCUCCCCUCCCGCUCUCUCUCUCUCUCACACGCGCGCGCUCACUCUCUCCUUCCUUCUGGCUUUCUUCCACGCUCUCUUCCCUUCCCAUCUUCUUCUUCUUCCUCUUUUCUUCUUUCCUCUUCUUAGCAAGGUUGCGGUCCUAAGAUUUUCUCUCCUAUCCGCGUGAGUAAAUCAUAAUCUCUCUUGGCAUUAAAUUUGAUUUCAAUUUAGAUUGAAUAAUAAAUAGUUUGGGGUAAUAAGGAAGAUAGUUGCUAAAUUGGGAUGGAUUGAAUCCGCCUGUAGUAGUCUAGGAUUUUUAAUUCUGUGAUGGUUAGAUAUUUUAAUCUGAAAAUUUAAUUGAAGGUCAUCAACUAACUGCUUAACCAAUCUGCAAAGUUUAAAAAUUUUUGGAUACUAUUUGAUAGGGUAAAAAAAUUUCAGAUCAAGGCUAUUAUGUAAAGGAGGGUAGUUAACCAAAAAUUUGGGAUUUAGAAUUUUAGAAAGUUUUAUAAAUUAUUGCAAAGCAAUAAUAUGGUAUUGAUUUCAGAUUACAUAUAUGUAUUUUGGAUUAUUAGGUUUUGAGAAGUCCCGAAGAAGUAUUAUAUAACCUGAUAGGAGAUUUUUGCAAG
rnacentral:lncRNA from 1 species